rnacentral:SRP_RNA from 1 species
GCUGGGCGAGGUGGCGGGCGCCUGUAGUCCCAGCUACUCGGGAGGCUGAGGCAGGAGAAUGGCGUGAACCCGGGAGGCGGAGCUUGCAGUGAGCUGAGAUCCGGCCACUGCACUCCCGCCGAGACUCCGUCUCAAAAAAAAAAAAAAAAGAAGAAGGAAAUAGAGUCUCGGCGCAAAAGCUGGCUCUGUGUUCAAAUCUUUUUUUUUUUUUUUUUUUUUUUUUGAGACGGAGUCUGACUCUGUCGCCCGGGCUGGAGUGCAGUGGCCGGAUCUCAGCUCACUGCAAGCUCCGCCCCCCGGGUUUAGGCCAUUCUCCUGCCUCAG